ensembl:snoRNA
UGGAUCGAUGAUGACAACUGCCAGCGCUUGAGUCAUGAUGAUGAAUGAUAUGUGUCUGGAACUCUGAGGUCCAA